GUGCAUGAUUUGGUGGUCUAACUUUGGUUGGAUCCUAUCUUGGAGGAAAGGCUGAGAUGUAUGACGACAAGCGAUGGAGUUUGCUGGUUAAGAGGGCAGCAAGGGGGCUAUUUGGUGGAUGAGGAGUGUUUGGCAUAUAUGGCAUACUAGAGGAGAGAUUUUUCAAAGGAUAAUGAUCGAGGUGGAGCUGAAAAAGCGACUAUACAGCUUUUGGAUGCAGGA
rnacentral:lncRNA from 1 species